rnacentral:rRNA from 1 species
GACGAACGCUGGCGGCGUGCUUAACACAUGCAAGUCGAACGGAAAGGCCCUGCUUGCAGGGUACUCGAGUGGCGAACGGGUGAGUAACACGUGGGUGAUCUGCCCUGCACUUCGGGAUAAGCUUGGGAAACUGGGUCUAAUACCGGAUAGGAGCCAUCUUUAGUGUGGUGGUUGGAAAGUUUUUUCGGUGUAGGAUGAGCUCGCGGCCUAUCAGCUUGUUGGUGGGGUAAUGGCCUACCAAGGCGGCGACGGGUAGCCGGCCUGAGAGGGUGUACGGCCACAUUGGGACUGAGAUACGGCCCAGACUCCUACGGGCGGCAGCAGUGGGGAAUAUUGCACAAUGGGCGCAAGCCUGAUGCAGCGACGCCGCGUGGGGGAUGAAGGCCUUCGGGUUGUAAACUCCUUUCGCUAGGGACGAAGCUUUGUUGUGACGGUACCUAGAUAAGAAGCACCGGCUAACUACGUG